ACAACCUCACCCUGAACAAACCAUCUGACAUUGCCGAGACCUUUUUCCAAUAUUUUCGCUCCUCUAUUGGAUCCUGCUACACCCCUUCAGCCUAUAUCAAUCUUACUGCCCUUUAUCAAAGUCUGCCUCCAGACAGUACUCCUAACCUCCAUCAUCUUUCGACAAAUAUUUCUGAGCUGGAAGUCAAAGCCGCAAUCGAUGCGCUUCAGGGGGACAAAGCACCGGGGCCUGAUGGCUUCCCUAUGGGAUUCUAUCAACGGUUCUGGCCCAUUUUAAAAGCAGAUAUAUUAUGUUUUAUGCAGGGUUUCUUUGCUGGUGGCGACAUCCCACAUUAUCUCAACAGCUCAUGGAUUUCUUUGAUCCUAAAGACAGCGCAAGCUAUUGCACCAGAGCAUUUCCGACCUAUUAGCCUUACUCAUGCUAUUAGCAAAAUUAUCUCAAAGGUGCUCGCGACCCGUUUGCUGACGGUCAUUGAUUCACUCAUUGACCCGCAUCAAACAGCCUUUAUCAAGAACCGCAGCAUUCAUGACAGCUUUGUAAUGGCUCACGAGGUUCUUAACGCUGCUAGAAGGCGGANGUGAGAAGGAAAGUAUCCGCAAGUUUAGUAGGAAAGACAAAUGAUGUCUACAAACAUUGGUCUUGUCUUUGCAAAAAUAUCUAUUUUUUUUAUUUUCAAAAGAUGAAAAAAAUAUUUGAAAAUAUUUUUGAUGCUCCCCUUCUUCAAUAUUAAUUAUUAAAUAAUGGUUAAAUUGCACUUUUAGUCCUCUGACUUUAAGGUGAGCAAUAUUUUGAUUCUCAAACUUAAAUUAAUUAUGAUUUCUAGUUUAAACUUUUUGAGUUAUUAUAAUUAAAAUUUUCAAUCUAAUUUAGCUAGUUAGAUCUUGAUAUUUCAAUAAUCUGAUAUUGAUGUAGCAUAUUAGUAAUUGCCACACUAUCAAUUGUAACACUAUUACAUUAGUAUCACAUUAUUAAUUUAUCAUUAUUUAACCAACUAAAUUCGAUUUUGCGACUUAAUUGCAGUAAUUUAGAAAACUUAAGUCAAAAAUAAUAAUAAAUUUAAGUUUGGAAACUACUGUGAAGUUUACUUAUAUCCAGCUGCAGUUGCGUUCGAAGCACGCUAGACUAAUUAUCUACACUUGGAGAGAAGACCAUAAAUGUAAUUUAACCUUAAAUAAUGGUGGAAACUAGGAGAAGACCAUAAACGUAAUUUAGGCUAAUUAAUGGUGAAAACUAACAACGAAGAAUAGCAAAUAUUCUAAAUUCUUCGAAUGCGUUCAAACAACAUAAUCCAGAUUUAAGAGUAUCGAGCAUGAGGUACUUUAUAGACUUCUCCUAGUUUCCACCAUUAUUUAAGGUUAAAUUACAUUUAUAGACUUCUUGAAUGAAUUGUCUAUUUCAGGAAAAAAAAAAAAAAAAAAAAAAAAAAAAAUUUUUUUUAUUUCUUAUUAUAUAGUUUUGAUUCGGGUAGCGAGUGUGUAAGAGAUCUAAAUAUAGUUUUUGCGUAAACUUUUAACAAAUUUGAAAUCCGUCUCCUGAUUUUUAAAAAGUGCAAAAUCAUCAUCCGAACUUUGAAUAAGCCGCAAUCUAUCCCAAAAUCAAUAUUGGUGGAGAAAAGAAACAAUAUUGAAGUAUUAUCUAGCUACUACAUCAGUAUUUCUAGAGGGUCAUUUUGAAGAGAGAAAUCCUGUAAAUUAUCUAGAUUUAGAUCAAUAAGCAACCGAUUGACACGCCACUCUUAUAAAAUAUUAAAAAAAGAUUGCAAUACAAACAUAUAUCAACAACCUAGCUCGGAAAACAUAGUUACGAUCGGCAUUAUUGCCUUUUUCCUAGUACCGUUGCUGAUUGAGGAACAUAAAGUAAGAAAACCAUAAUACUCACAGUCACACUCAAACAUCAAAACAUAUACUGAAAAAAAACAAAAAAAAACAUAUUGCAGCAAGCAUAAUGUCUGAGUUUAGCAACUAUUAUUAAGGAGCGAAGAUGAGGAGGAUUCAGAUGCGGUGAUUGAUUUAGCAGAUGCAGAAACGACACUAGCCGAUGCUCCAGUGGAUGAUGAUGAGGUAUAAUUGAAAUUCGAUAGAUCUAUCGGCGGCGCGAACACCAGCUCCGGCAUCUUAGCAGAAAGAGCGGGCAAGGGAAUUUCGAAGCGCAGAACACCAAUUGCUUCUUGGAUUGACGGUCGUCGAUUAUAAUCUGGGUGGGCACACCACAACCCAACAACCAUCAAGCUCUCCAUUUCUGGUUCGAUGAAAUCGCCGUUGAGACGCUCGUCGGCUGCUUCGAGAACUGAUUUACUUCCAUACAGAUCCCAGACCCACUCAACCAGGCUAACUUUGCUCCGAUCCUCCGUCUGGACUAUGCACUGUCUCCCGCAAGCGAUUUCGAGUAAGACGACACCGAAACUAAAGAUGUCAGUCUCCUUACUGGCCUUUCCGGUGAUGAAACAUUCGGGGGCCAGGUAUCCCAAGGUGCCUGCAAGAACCGUGGUUUGCGAGCCGCGGUCGUGGUCGACGAGCCGCGCCAGCCCGAAGUCGCCGAGCUUGGCGCCGAACGACGAAUCCAGCAUGAUGUUGCUCGGCUUGAUGUCUCGGUGCACCACGCACUGCUCCCACUCGGUGUGAAGAUACAGCAAAGCGGAGGCCAGGCCUUGCGCUAUGUUGUAUCUCGCCGACCACGGCAGUAGCCUCUCUUUGCUGUAGAGAUAGGAAUCCAGGCUUCCGUUGGGCAUCAGCUCGUAGACCAGCAAGAAAUCUCCGCGUCUGUGGCACCAGCCUAUGAGCUGCACCAGAUUCCGAUGCCGCAGUCGGCUUAUCGCGUUGAUCUCGGACGUGUACUCCUUCAGCCCUUGUUUCGACCCCUUGGAGAUUCUUUUGAUGGCUACGGGAAGGUUUAUGGACCUCAGGAACCCUUUGUACACAAAACCAAAUCCUCCCUGCCCAAGCUUCUCUGCCUCGUCAAAGUUGUUUGUUGCGGCAACCAAUUCGCUGUAAGGAAACCUCUGGGGUCCCCUACCUCUCUCGAACUCAUAGUCAAUCAGCUCAUCAUCGUCGUCCAUGCCGCCUUCUUCUUCCUCUCCCGUGGUGGCCUUCUUACGCGACGGAAGAAACCAGCAAACUGCCGCAACCAAACAGACCACAGCGAAUACUCCAGCGGCCGAACCGGCCACAACUCUGACAUUACUUUUGCCCGAGAAAGUCGACGGCGCAGGGGCCAGCUGUGUUGGUGGGCUCGUAAUCGUAAGAUUACUCUUCCUUUCCAAAGUUGAGUUGAAAUUCCAGUACAGGAUCUGAUGCAGCUCGACAUUGUAGCCAGUGGCAGCUGAGAAGCCAACGGCAACCUCCUGGGGUAGUACUGCCUUCAAAUCAACAAGGGAAGAGAGGCUGAAAGGGCUAGUGUAGUUUGGAUUACCGUCGAAAGAAAGCAAGACACUUAAAAACUUCGUGGUGAUAUUGUAGUCGAUUGACACGGUCGCGCGGGUGCCGUUUCUGGUGAUAUCCGGCAAGUCCGUGUACCCCGUAGAGUAGAUGGAAUUGAUAUCAAUACCAAUGUGAUAGUCGCUCGGAUCCCAGGAAUUCAUGAAGGUGUCGAACUCGACCGCCACUAUGUGAUUAUGCGUCAAGUUAAAAGCGGUUCCAUUGUCCAAGAGGCCGAGGUAGGCGCCACCGUUGAACCUAGGGACUACCGACGGAAAAGGGGAGAGGAAGAACGCUAGCCCGUCCCCGGAAAUGCUCGUGUUCGUGGGUUGGAUGACGUAAGAGAAGCUAGUGUGAAAGCUAGCCACGUCGCCCGUGGCGUUGUCCCAAAGAAGCACCGGAUUUCUGUACACCGCUCGGCCUUGGCUGUUGCGUGUGUCCUUCGUAAGAUUGAUGACAGUGCGGUUCCAGACAGCGUCGGCCUGAAAUGUGAUAUUUGACAUGUUAAUGUCGGGAUCCGAAAAAUUGAAGCUGAAGGAGAGUGGUGUUGCAUGUGGUAUGCAAACAUCAAAGAGGAUGAUGUCGAAGAACAAGAAGAGGGAGCACCUAGUUCUUGAUUUGGAGACAGCCAUUUAAUCGGAGUUGUUUGCAACGGUGGCUUCUAGCUAGCAAGUUGUUUCUCUACAUUUAGCUUGGAAGGAAGACGACUAGGCUCCGCGUUAAUUCUGCAUUUUGACGAAGAGUAUUCAGAGUGCAUACGUAGGACAUUAAUGAUGAAAAGAACGUAACCAAUUAAGCUUGCCUUCCCAGUAAUUGCUGGAGUAAAUUGUAUAAUUGUUCGCAGAAUUUUUUAUAAAAUUUUCUUUAGGUCGGUUAAUUAACCUCUUUAAUUAGUGUAUUCCAAUCAACAUAUUAAAUUUUAAUUCUACAAUUAUUGGGUCCGUGCUCAAAUUUUGAUUUAUUUUUUUAAGGAUAAAACACUAAUUAAUAUAGUAGCCCAUUUAGCUACCAAAUUAUAAUAUGCCAAUGGAUGUUGAUAAUCAUUUUAGUUAUUAUAACAUCUCAAAUUAUUCUUAUUAAACUAUUACAUAAUAUUAAAUAUUUGAAAACUAAAUUGGUAGACAAAUCAUCUCUAAAAUCUAAAUUAGUAAUCAUUGUUGAAGGGUCUGAAUCAAACUAAUAAAUAGAAAUAUCCUUGCACAAUAUUGUAUAUUAUACAACUCAGAGUUCUUAUUUUAUCUAAUAUGAAACUAUUACUUUUACUGCUCUAUUACCACACGCUAACUACUAUUAUUACUAUGUCGUGUAGACACAAUAAAAUCACAUAAAAUUCUGGAUGACAAAAGACUUUGAACUGGCAACACGGCCUGCGUGUUGUGCGGGGUUGAAGAAGAAACUGUCGACCACUUAUUCACACGGUGCGUCUUCUCGAUAUUUCUAUUGGUGACGACCUUGCAGCAUGUCUAGUCUAGAGAUUGGGGGGAUGACGUGAGCGCAGUCUGGGAUAGGUGGAUGACGAGGAUUGGAACGCAGUCGUCGAGUAUUAUGGUAUCCGGAUUGGUAGCCUGCUGGUGGGUAAUUUGGGAGGUCAGAAACGGCGUGAUCUUUAGAAAGACCCAAUCGGACCCCUUCUUUGCAGCUUAUAAAAUUAAGCAGCUGACGAAUCUUUGGGAGCAAUUUCUAUUAGGUAAUCGACGGCACGUUUGUAGUCAGUAGUUUUUUUUUUUUUUUUUUUCGCCCCCUCCGAAGCUUAUGUUGCCUUACCCCUGUAGCUUAGUUCAUUUUUUCAAUGAAUGAAACGGAUAGCGUGCUAUCUAUUUCUCAAAAAGAAAGAAACUUUGAACUUAGACUAGGCAAGAUGAAAUGACUGUCAUCUCUCAAGAACAUGGGACAAGAACCAGUUAAAAUUUACUCUGCCUGAUUUAAUAAAAAUAUUUACGUCCAUGCUUUAAAAUUUGUGCGGAGGAUAUUCUGACACAUGAUAAAGGGUUGGGAGACUAAUCUUCAGCUAAUGUUAAUCACUCGAACUAGUCAAAUAAGUUAUCAACCUUUUCUUAGUCUACUAAUUAUCUAUCUAGAUAGCUUUUCAGAGGCUAGAAUUUUGAUUUCCGAAUGAGUAUUUAGAAAAUAGGACACGUUUUGGUUGAUUUCUUUGGUUAUAAGGAGUUAAUGUUAAUUCUUAUAACGGAUUUAUGAGCCGUAAAGGCCUGCUGCGAAGAUCAAAAUAUUUGUGGAUAUAAAGUAUAUAUAUGUGGGAAAUUAACAAUGGGUGCUGGUUAAAUAUUAUCAUCUUUAAGAUUUUGUUUGGUUCGGAAAUAAUAAACAUUAGGAUAUUUUUUUUAUUUCUGAAAAAGCUUAUUAUUUCAAACUAGUUAAGAAUAAAAGCAACUUUGUGUUUGAUUUGCAAUACUGCAAUUCUCAGGAAUAUCUGAAAUUGUAUUUGGUUAAUUUUAUUGAAUAGGAGAGGAUAGCAGAAAAAAAUGAUUGCUGAAUUUGAUAUAAAAUAUAAUUUAAUAAAAAUAAUUUGUUAUAAAAAUAAUUUAUUGUAAAAAUAAUUUUCAAAAUAUUUUUUGAUAAAUGAUGAUUUAAUAAAAAUAUUUUUUAUAAAAAUAACUUUUCUCAAAUUAUACUUAAUCUUAAAUUUAAUAAAAAAGUAAUUUAUUAUAAUAAUAUACUAUACUAUUUAAAUAUAAAUAGUAUGUAUUAAUAUAGCAUAAUCAAUAAUUUUUAAUAAAAAUAACUUAUUACAAUAUAUAAGAUAUUAUGUCUGUAUAAUUUAGUUUAAUGUAAUUUCUAAUGUUAAUAAAGUAAAUCUUAAAAUAUUACUAUUCUAAUAAAAGGGUGAAAUAGUUUAUUCCAAACUAUUUCAGAAUAACCAAGCAUAGCAAGAUUUGACUAGAAUAAAAUAUUCCGACAAAAAAAAUAUUUCGUUUGGUAGAACAGUAGUGAUAACUUUUGUUUUUUUUGAGAGAGAUAGGUAGCACGCUACCCGCUUCGUUUAUUUCAUUUAGAAAUAAACUUAGCUAGAAAUGUGAAUCAACUAGGAUUCGAACUUGGGUCUCGGAUACCAACCAUCAAGCCCUUUUGCCACUUGCGCUAGGGACGGUCGGUAGUGAUAACUUUUGUUAUCCCAAUUUUAUUCUCGAAUCAAACCGGAAAUAAGAUGGAAAAUGUGUUCCUUUAUUUGUGAGGACCAACUUGCAAUAAAUAAGUUGAAUGGGGAUCGAGUACAAGAUUGAUUCAAAGGGAGCAGUAAGUUUACUUUGACCUAACAAACUGAAGAAUUCCACAAACUGUAGGUAGGUAUAUUUGCAAGUCAUUUGAAUAUAAGUAAAUAUUAUCUAUAAAUUUUUAGGUAAUCGACAUUUUUAUCCAUAUUCCUCCAUGGGUGAAUGGGUGGGGGUUUAUCUAUACAUAUAAUGAAAGCUCAGUUCUACUGUGGCCAACGUGUCGCUUUCUCGGCGCCCNAUUAAACUUGAUCUACACUAGUAAAAUUAUUUGGAAACUAAAUUUCAUAAUUUUUUGACAUUAUUUAACUAUUAAACGAAAAAUAAACGACUGAAAAUAAAAAUCUCAUAAAAAAUGAUAAUAAAAGAUUUGAAUUUAAGAUCAGAGAUACUAAUUUUACUCUAAGUAGUGAAUAAAAUUUUUUAUACAAAUUUCAUUAGAUUUGGAUUAUUUUAUACUGUUAAAUUCACAAAUGCAUUACAUCGGCUGUUAAAAGUCAAUUUUGAGACUUUUUGAUCACUUGUCAAAUAAUAUUAAAAAAUAUAAAAAUUGGUUUCUAAAUAUUUUUAAUAGUAUAUAUAAAUCAUAUCUAACGGAAUUGAUAAUCGAUUCGAAAGUUGCAUCAUCCUAAACAACUUGGUAGUACGGAGACUUCCGUGCUACUGAUAGUAUAGCAAUCUAAUUUUAUAUAUAGAGAGAGUUGAGCUAAAAUACUAUCUGUAGCAAACAAAUUUCAUUGCGACACAUUUAUUUUCGAUGAUGAAGACUCGAAAUUAAUGAUCAGUAUCGUUGAAUAUAAUUUAUGUUAUUUAAAAUAUUUAGAAACCAAAUUUAUAUAUAAGAUAAAUUAUGUGUCAAUUUUUUAAUUCUCUGUCGCUGAUCAUAAUUUACAAAAUUACAUAUCAAAAUUUAUUUGACUAGCUGGGUCGUUAGUAUAGGUGACAGACAAGUACCGAGUAAGUUUUCCAUCAAAGCGACAUUCACCCGAUAGCAAUAGCCUGUAUAUCACUUGCAAUUGCACUUAAGCAUCAAAACAUAUAAUUAAAAACAAAAAAAGAAAAGGAAAAAAUUAAUAAUAAACGCAAUGUUAAGCUACAUCAUGUAGUAUUAAUUGUAGCUCAUCCAUCAACUAUUUAAGUCGCGAGGAUGAGGAGGAUUCAGAAGCAGUAGCCGAGUUCGUGGAGACGGAAACGACGCCGCUCGAUGCUCCGGCGGACGAUGAGGUAUAAUUGAAAUUCAACAGGUCCGUCGGCGGUGCGCACGCCAAAACUGGCAUCUUCGGAGGAAGAGCAGGCAACGGAAUUUCGAAGCGCAGAACUCCGAUCGCUUGUUUGACAGACGGCCGCCGGUUAUAAUCCGGAUGAGCACAACACAAUCCCACAACCAGCAAGCACUCCAUUUCGCACUGUUCGAACUCGCCGUUCAAACGCUCGUCGGCCGCUUCAAGAAUUCCGCCCCUCCCGUAGAGAUCCCAGACCCACUCUAUCAAACUAACUUUGCCCGGCUCUAACGCCUUCCUCCCGCAGGCGAUUUCGAGUAAAACGACUCCGAAGCUAAAGAUGUCGGAUUCUUUACUGGCCUUUCCGGUGAUGAAACAUUCGGGGGCCAAGUAUCCGAUGGUGCCGGCUAAAACCGUCGUUUGCGAGCCGCGACUGUGGUCGAUGAGCCUCGCCAGCCCGAAAUCGCCGAGCUUGGCGUUGAACAACGAAUCGAGCAUGACGUUGCUCGACUUGAUGUCGCGGUGGACUACGCACUGCUCCCACUCGUUGUGGAGAUAGAACAAAGCCGAGGCCAAGCCUUGCGCUAUGUUGUAUCUCGCCGCCCACGGCAGCAGUCGCUCGGCGGCGCCGUAGAGAUAGGAGUCUAGGCUUCCGUUGGGCAUCAGUUCGUAAACUAGCAAGAAUUCGCCGCUGCGAUUGUGGCACCAACCGAUGAGCUGCACCAGAUUGCGGUGCCGCAACUGGCUUAUCGUACCGACCUCAGACAUGUACUCCUUUCUUCCUUGCCUUGACCCCUUGGAGAUUCUUUUGAUGGCGACGCAGAGGUUCGUACCCCUCAACGACCCUCUGUAGACGGAGCCGAAGCCUCCCUCGCCGAGCUUCUCGGCCUCGUCAAAGGUGUUCGUCGCGGCAACCAACUCGCUGUAAGGAAAACGAUGGGGUCCCUUGCCUUUCUCGAACUCAUCGUCGAUGGGAUCAUCCUCGUCCUCGUCGAGGACAUCAUCUCCUUCUUUCGUGCCGACGGCCUUCUUACACCACAGAAGAAACCAAGCCACUCCGACCAAGCACAGCAACAAACCUACGCCGGCAGCGCCUAAGCCCGAAGCAACUAGAGCGUUGCUAUUGUGCUUCUUCGUCUCAUUUCCCGCGACCGCCGGUGAACUCGCGCUGGUGUUCUGGGGGUUCAAAGUCGAAUCGAAAUUCCAGUACAGGAUCUGAUGCAGCUCGAUAGCGUGGCCGGUGGCAGCUGAGAAUCCGACGGCCACCUCCUCCGGCAGAAUUGCCUUCAAAUCGACGACGCAAGAGAGGUUGAAAGUGCCGCUGAAGACUGCAUGCUGAUCGUACGACAGGAAGACACUCAAACGAUUAGUGCCGUUAUCGUAGUCGAUCCACGCCGUUGCCCUGCCACCGCUGUCGAUGGCCGUGGUCCAAUUCUCAUACGCCGUAGAGCUGAUGGAAUUAACGUCGAUGCCGAUGUGAUUGUCGCUCGGGUCCCAGGAGUUCUUGUAGGUGUCGAACUCCACCGCGACAACCGUAUUUGCGCUCGGAUUCAGGGCAGUACUGUCGUUCUCAAAGAGGCCGAGUAAGCCGCCGCCGUUGAAGUCGGGGAGCGCCGGUGGAAAAGGUGAGAGGAAGAAAGCGAGACCGUCCCCGUAGAGCGUCGGGUUCAUGGCCUGGAUGACGAAAGAGAAGCUCGUGCGGAAACUAGCCACCUCAUGGGUGGUGCGGUUCCAGAGAGGCACCGGAUGGUUGUAAUAGACUUGCCCGGAGCUAUUGGUUAGGAGACCGACGGUGGUAUCCUUGGUGAGGUUGAUGACGGUGCCGUUCCAUGUAGCGUCGUGUUUACGAGCGAUGUCGGCCGACAGCACCGGAUCGGAGAAGUUGAACUCGAAGGAGAGUGGCGUUGCAUGGGGUAUGGAGAUGCAGAAGAAGGAGAAGAAGGAGAGCGAAAUCCUAAAAGUCCACGAGUUGCAGGAAGCCAUAGCCGUAGCCAUAGCAAUAGUUGUUACAAUUUGCUUUGUGUUAGCAAAUUUUCUCUACAGUUAGGCCGGCAGGGAGAAGGCCGGCAGAGAGAGAGACAGCAUAUCUCACGUUAAUUAAAGCAGACACUCAGAUAACGAGAAUUCGGCGAAAAAAAAAAAAAGUGAAAAACAAUUGAAAACAACUAAUUUCUUUUAUAGUUUACACUAUUUUUUUUAACGUUUGGAUUUAAUAUAUUUUGAUAGACUCCAAAGGCUUCAAUUAAGCUAGAAAAAAUUAAAUAACACCAAUAGCAAGAGCAUAGUAAAAUUUUUCGAAGUAACAAUCUCUCUCUCUCUCUCUCUCUCUCUCUCUCUCUCUCUCUCUAUAUAUAUAUAUAUAUAUAUAUAUAUAUAUAUAUGGUCCAGCUAGGAUACUAUUCACAGCACCAAACACUUGUUGCUACCAAGUUUUCCGCCGUUAGAUUUAACCCUUCGAUUAUUUUCAUCUGUUAAAUUAUACUAUUUAACCAAUAAGUCACUCAAUCUUGGGAGAUUUAUAUCAUCCUAAUCGUACAUUUAUUCAUCCAAGGGUCAAAAAUCUAAUAGUACCAACAGCUUAGUGGUAUUGAUAGCUUUCUAGUGUGUGUGUAUAUAUAUAUAUAUAUAUAUAUAUAUAUAUAUAUAUANAAAGUGGAAGCACGGAGCCCUCCGUGCUUCCAUAAGCAUCCUAGCCGCACUAUAUAUAUAUAUAUAAAGAGAGAGAGAGAGAGAAUUGGGCUGAUAUACUAUCGGUAGCACGGAGGCCUCGUACUACCAAGUUAUUUUCAAUGAUGCAGCUUUCAAAUCGACGAUUGAUUCCGUUAGACUUGAUCUACCAUAUUGAAACUAUUUGGAAAUUAAAUUUUAUAAUUUUUCGCCAUCAUUUACCUAUCAAACGAGUACUCUAAAAAUAAACAGUUGAAAAUAAAAAUUUUAUAAAAAAUGAUGAUAAAAGACUUGAAUUUAAGAUCAGAGAUAUUGAUCUUACUCAAAAUAGUGAAAAAAAAAAUUAUACAAAUUUUAUCAGAUUUAGAUUGUUUUACACCGCUAAAUUCACAAACGCAUCACAUCUACUAUUAAAAUUGUCAAUUUUGAGACCUUUUGAUCACUAGCCAAAUGAUGUCGAAAAAUUAUAAAAUUUAAUUUUCAAAUAUUUUUAAUAGUGUAGAUCAACUCUAAUGGAGCUAAUCGUCGAUUUGGAAGCCGUAUCAUUGAAAACAACUUGCUACCGAUAAUAUACCAGCCUAACUCUCUCUCUCUCUCUCUCUCUCUCUCUCUCUCUCUCUCUAUAUAUAUAUAUAUAUAUAUAUUAAACUAUCCGAGAAUGAUGCGUUUAUAUUUUAUUUUCAACAUCAAUUUCGUAAAUUGUAUGUUGUAAAACUUGUUCUGCGUACACGAUGAAGGGCACUAAAGUGUAGAAAAUGAUGGGUGCAAAAUGAUCAUCUCUUAACUUCCAAAAUGUUUGCUUUCUUUCCUUUUUUAAUAUGAUCCAACUUUCAAUAAACAACUUGGAUGGGUGUACACGAUCCUUGUCUCAAGGGAUAAGUAAACGAUUAAACGACUCAAAUAAUAAGAACCAUUGAUUUGCACCCAAAAAAAAAAAUUCAAUGAUCCUAGUAUUCUAUUCUAUUUUCCUUGAGUAAAUUAUAUAAAUUGCUCACAGAAUUUUUGAUAAAAUUUUCUUUAGGUCACAUAACCUCUUUAUGUAUUCCAAUCAACAAAUUAAAUUACCAACCGUCUCUAGAGCAAAUGGCAAAAAGUUUGGUGGUUAGUAUUCGAGACCGAAAUUCAAAUCCUAGUUAAUUCACAUUUCCAGUUAAGUUUAUUGCUAAAUGAAAUAAACGAAGCGGGUAGUGUGCUACCUAUCUCUCAAAAAAAAAAAAUCAACAAAUUAAAUUUUAAUUUCUAUAAUUAUUGUGCUCAAAUUUUUUAUUUAUUUUUUAGGAUAAAACACUAAUAUAGCAGCCGAUUUAGCUGCCAAAAUAUAAUAUGCAUGCCAAUGUAUGCAGAUAAUUAUUUUAGACAAUAUUGUAUAUUAUACAACUCAGGAUACUUAUUUUUAUCUAAUAUGGAACUAUUAUUUUUACCGCUCCAUUAGCACACGCUAAAUACUAUUAUAGUAUGUGGUAUAGACCCAAUAAAAUUGCAUAAAGUUUUAAUAAGGGCCAAAGACUUUGAAUUUAGACUAGAUAAGAUGAAAUGACUGCCAUCUCUCAAUAACAUAGGACAAGAAUUAGUUUUUUUUUUUUUUUUUUUUUUUUUUUUUUGUGUUNUUUUUUUUUUUUUUUUUUUUGAGAGAUAGGUAGUAUGUUAUCCAGUUCGUUGAUUUCAUUUAGAAAUAAACUGAAUAGCUGAAAAUGUGAAUCAAUUAGGAUUCGAACUUGGGAUCUCGGAUGCCAAUUACCAUCAAACCCUUUGUCACUUGCGCUAGGGACGGUCGGUGAAUUAGUUAAAAUUUACUCAGCAUGAUUUAAUAAACGGAAUUUAUGCCAAUACUUUGUUCGGGGGACAUCCUGACACAUGAUAAAAGGUUCGGAGAGUAAUCUUUAGUAAAGUUAGCUGAUAUGCCUCUCCACCAACUUCUCAAAUAAGUAAACAAUCACUACUUGGUCUAAUAAAUAUAGAUUUUUUAAAAAAAAAGAAUCUAAAAAUAUGUCAGUCACGUAGAAUGAUAUGAUAUUUCCAACCAAUCAAAUUAUUUUUUCAAAAUUUACUCAUCCCAUCAUAACUUUCUAAAAAAUAAUUUUAUUAUUUUUUUUAAAAAAAAUAUGAUUAACUGAAUAUAAAUAAUGCGAUAUAACUGUUAUAUUGGCGACUUUUGAAAAUUUGAUUUCCAAGGUUGUAUAUAGAAAAUAGGAUCCGUUUUGCUCGGUUACUUUGGUCGUAAGGAGUUAAUAUUAAUUCUUAGGACGGAUUUGUGAGGCGUGAUGGCCAGCUGACAAGAUCAAAAUAAGAAAACACGUACAUAAACGGAAAGGUUUGUCCAAAGAUUUGAGACAGGCUUUAUGCCGGCCGCAUAUGAAGAUGGAUGACAACCCCAAGAAAGCAAAAAACGAGAAUAAUAAUAAUAAUAAUAAUUUAGGUCCUUCUUCGUAUGCAUGCAUUUAGCGCCGUUACAUUAAAAAAAAAAUAAAAAAAUAAAAAAAAAACUACUCUUUCUAUCGUAAGUGGUAAAGAAUUUGGGGGUUGGUAUCCAAAGUAUCAAGUUUGAUGUUUAGUUGUUUUAUAUUUCUUGCAAAGUUUAUCUUAAAAAAAAAUAAACAAAACGGAUAGCAUANUUAACUAAAUUAUAUCCAAAAUUUUAAUUUUAAAAUUUAGGUAUUUUAUAUUUUUAAUUAAGUUUAACGGAUACCAUACUUACCUUUCUCCCUUUUUUUUUAAAAAAAAAAGAGAGAGAAAUCCUGAUUAAGCAGUGGUUCAUGUGUGUUACAGAAUAUUGCCAAAAAUCAAAACUUUUAUGGAUAAUACAUUUUGGUUUUUGUCAUCUUGCCCUUUUAAAACUACUGCAAUGCUCAUAAAAUACAGACUUUGGAACGUGGAAAUAAGUUAUCUAAUAAUAAAUAUUUAAUUUUGUUUUCUUAAAUGAUAUUCACAUCCUUAAUUUAAUAGCAUAGUAUAUUUUACUUGCAAAAGAUGAUUAUUUAUUUUAUUAUAAAAAAAUAAUUUUAAUACUGAGUAUGAUCAUGAUAUGUAGCAGUCCCAGCUCCAGUUUUAUACCAGGAGGGAAUUAAUCUAUCAAGCUCAACUAGCUAAUUACAAGCUACCACUCAAGUAACAGCAAAACAAAUUUACAAUUUAACAAAGGGGAAAUUGCAUGGUUAAGUCGCUAACCUUUUACCAAAGUAUAUCUUAAUAUAUUUGUUAUAUAAAUUUUUUUAGGCUAUUGAAAGUUAGAAGUUUGAUUUUUUUUUACUUUUUAAAAAAUUCUAACAUCUGAUUUGAUAAGAUAACAUAUUUUACUUAUAAAAUGAUAAGAUAACGCUCAUUCCUAAUUCUGCGAAACGAGGCUCGGGCCUUUUGCUUACACCUUGGGCUCAACAUGGACUAUGCUAUCCUUAGGUUUGCCCAUUUUAGUGAUAUUCCUAGGGAUCUUUCCUUUUGAAAAUGUAUAAUUAAUGUAUACAUGUAAUGACAUGUUUUGUUACUGUUAGAACAAAAGAAAUUACAUGCAAUUACAUUUUAAAUUGAACAACUCGAACAAUUGAAAUAUUACAAAUAUAUUUAAAUGGAUGUUACAGUAAGUUAUCAGCAAAUGACCUGUGUUAGUUAUUAGCCUAUCACUGUAAAACAGGCUAGAGUUUUACUUAAUUAUUUUAACUCUCUCUGCAUCAGAAAUUCUAAACAGAAACCUAGUAUAUUGAAUAUAAAUUUAUCUCCACCACACAUUUAUUGCAUAUGUAUUCUUCUUAUGUGUGAGAAUGCGUGUGCGCAUGUAAAAUUGCUUCUUUCCUUAAAAUAAAUAAAUAAAUAUAUUAAAAAAAAAACAGCAACAACCACAUCAACAACAAAAACAUAUGUAAUUUCUGAAUUGUACCUUACAAUAAUAAAAUUUACUUAUGGAUCGGAUACGAAAUGAUCUAGGCCCAUUAGGUUUUAAUAUUAGGAAACCAACCUAUUACACACACCUUAUGAAACUAAAGGGGUCUAGAAUUGUUCUCACAAAACUAGAAAGGUUUAAAAUUGACUCUAAUGCUAGCUAUGAUACACAAAAAAAAUCAAUUUAUAGGAAACAAUCCAGAAUAUUAACACUAUUACUGUUCUUCAGGUAAUAAAGCAUAAACAUGGAAUCUGAUCAAACUUGUUGUGUGAAUACUAAUAAACUUUAAAGUGUGCUUUGGUUACAAAAAACCACAAUCUACGAUAACCCUGGAGCGAUUUGAGCAAUGUCGCAACCUCGUGCUGUACGCAAAGUCGUCGUGGGAACCUGCAACAUAUCAAUCGUGGGUCAUGCAUAAUCUCUGCAGUUCAAUGUACCUUUCAAACACCAUACACUAUAAAACACAUUUUAGUCAAACAAUGACUCUAAUUAUUUGUUCAGUUAAUUGAUCGUUCGUAGCGCAAGUGGUAAAAGAUUUGAUGAUUAAUAAUCAAAAUUUUAAGUUCGAUACCUUAAUUGUUCAGUUAACUGCUGGGAAUCCGGUACUCGCCUCGGUACCAGAUUUUGAGAAUCCGCAACCCGCUCGAUACCGAUUGCUGUGGAUCCGGUACUGAUUGUUGAGAUUUCGAAACCGUUGCGUCAAAUCGAGUUUUUACCAUAAAUCCGUCUCCUCAGCAGAAACUGAUGCAAUCAUAAAAGAAAAAAAUAUGCGGGUAAAAUAAGAUUCAAUAAAUAAGAGAAUAUUAUACCUGACUCCUCUUCUGCACAGAUUAAUUACAAUCCAAGUCCUCUUUCUGAAUCUUUUCUACCAUUCUCUCGUCUUUUAUACUCUCAGAAGACAUCUCUCUCAUACUGUGCAUCCGUGCACAAGGUAUACAAAUGACCCACGGCUACGAAAGCCGCACACGUCCUCUUGCACCCAUGCACUAGGUGCAACCAAAAUCAUGACUAUCUUGACCAUGCCAUAUGGGUGUGGCUAAUCCAUACCACUACCAAAAAACUAGCACAUAUGCUAUAUUUAUAGUUUACAUCAAAAGCUACUAAAAUUCUAAUACAAUUAGGAUUCCUAUUCCGAUAAAUAUGUAAAUUUAUAUUUAGUUUAUCUCUAAUAAAUUUAAAUAUUUAUCCUAAUCUAGUUAGAUUUAUAAUCUAAUUAAUAUUUAAAUCUUAAUUUAUUUUUAAUAAAUUUAAAUAUUAAAUUUUAUCUAACUAGAAUUCAACUACAAAUCUAACCAAAUCCUAACAUUAACAUCAUCAUGAAAUUAGAAAAAAAAAAAUAGAAAAGGAAAAAGUGAAACUCAUCAAAAAGCUAGCUUUCUCAAAUCUCAGUAACCCUAUCAUCUGUUCCUGAAUCUAUUACCUGUAAAAUGACCUUUCCAACCCCCCAAUCACACCAAAAAAUACAGUUGAGAAAUUAAAUGGCUUGAUAAAUGCCACAUGUGAGGCAUUUACGGCGCCGAGUUCUUAUUGAUAUCGUUGGGACGCGUUCUAACCCACCGCCGAAUUCAAGUCGCCCUCAUCAACCAACCAUUAUUGGCUAUUCCCGUCACUUUAACAUCCAUGAAUUUAAUGCACGUACCCGACCCAUUUAAAGCAAAUAAAUUUAUUGAACAGAUGCGGAGAAAAAUAAAAUAAAAUAAGAAAUUUUAAAAAAAUAACAUCCAUGAAUUCAAUGCUAACGUAAUUUUUCUAAAAAAGAAAAAUAAAUAAAUAAGAUACAUUCACACAGAAGUGUUAAAUUACAUCACAAAAUUAUUGAAACUUCUAUCUACUCCUCAAUGAGAGAUAGAGGGAUAGAAUGAAACACAAACAUACAAGCUACAAAGGUGGAAACCAAGAAUGAAAACAUCUUUUUCAAUUUGCAUAGUCUAGAAGAUUCCGGAUGCGGCGAUGGCGUACGAUAGCGCGGCGAGGAAGGCCAGAUCGACGGCUCUGAGGCCUCGAAUGCCACGGUCGGCGCCCGAUGGGGGGGCGGUCGGCGUCGAACCUAUUUGAAUAUGAAACAUCAAAAUUUAGUAAGGUAAACCAGGAAUUGUGCAAUAAGGGAGCUCAAGAUCAUCUAACAUGCACAAAGUUAUAAACUCGUAAAAUUAUAAGUUUUCUAAAAAUAGUGUUUUAAUAUUUUAUAUUCAGUAUGUUUGGCAUACCGGGCAAUAGCGGGCUGGUUCCCGGAGAUGGGGCUGGUGAAGGCCCAAAAUUUAUGGGGAAUCCGAUCGCUGCAUAACAACAUUCAAAAAUCCAAAUACCAGAAGUUAACUCAUAAGAUUCAAAUAUAACGACUCGACUCGCUAACAAUAAUAAUUUCUUGGAUGCAAAAAAUCAGCCCAAAAUAUUUAAGUUCAGUUAUUAUUACUAGUAUGCGAGUUAUUAUUAUAAACUGAUCCAAAUCAGUAUCCCAUUCGAUGUAGGACUAUUGGGGGUGUUACACAAAUAUAUCAUAUAGGAAGUUUGGAAAUUGUAAUGUAAUGAACUGUAACAUUUUUGAACUUUUGAGGGUGAGCUUAGAAUUGUAACACAAUUUAAGACCGUUUGGUGUUGAAAUUGAUGAAAUAAUGUAAAAAAGUGUUGUUUCAGAAGAUAAAUGCUUCGAGCUAAUUUAAGCAUUAGGCUAUUGCAAAAGCUUCAAACUUUUCUAUAAAUAUUGGUAGGUAAAAAUAUAUGGAAGUAACCUAAUUUAUGAUCUAUUUUGGCACUACUAUUCUAGCAAAAGAAAAUUAAUUAGAGCAAUUUACUGAGAAAUAUUAAUUUUUUUUAAUGUCUUAACACAUCAUUGUUUAAGAAAUACUUUCAAUCUAUCCAUAAACUCACACCAGCUUAAACAAGGUACACAAGUAUGGAGACCACCCAACUAUAUGUCCGUUUGAAAUGGACCCCUCAACUUUAACUUUUUUUUAAAAUUGUUUUUAGUAAAUGAAAUUGGACUAACAACUAAUAAAAUCAUUAUAUUUGAUACAAUUUUUAACCAAACUAAGUUUAAAAUCUCAAAUAAAAAAAUAAAAAGUUAAAAGAGUCUCAAUGCCCCAAAUAAAAAAAAAUUUUAAAAAAAAUUGAGAGAUCUAUUUCAAAACGACCUACAAUUGCCUUCCCACAUUUUUAAACCCCCAAUUAAAAAAAAAGAAGACAAUUUAUUUUUUUUUAAAUAAAAAAAUAUUGAUGAGACUAGCUUUGUAGCAUUAUAGCUAAUUUUUAGAUUUCAAACUUAUCAUUGCUCAAAAAAACAAAAAAAGCGAUUUUGCUUGUAUAUUCCUUGCACUCCUAAUAUCUAAAAAAUACCUUUUUAAAAUUCAAUGUCAUUAGUAAACUCUUAAAAGAGAGAGAGAGAGAGAGAGAGAGAGAGAGAGGAGAUAUUUGAAAUAUUUUAAAAGUUUUAAAAGUUAUGUUAGAUAUUAUUUGAAAAGGGCAAAAAAAAAAAGAAAAAAAAGAAAGUAAAGUGCAAUAUAGCAAAUCCCCACUACCAAGUGUGGUAAAUUACCGACCAUCUCUAGAGCAAGUAGCAAAAAAUUUAAUAAUUGAUAUUCGAAAUUUCAAAUUCGAAUUCUAAUUAAUUUAUAUUUUCAGCUAAGUUUAUUUCUAAAUGAAAUAAGAGAAACAUGAGCAUUCUACCUAUCUCUCAAAAAAAAAAAAGUGUGGUGAAAUGCACGGGCUCACCUGCGCAGAGGCUGAGGGGCGGGGUGUCGACGCGGCAGGCCUUGGGGAGGGCGAGGGCGCGGGCGGUGUCAAUGGAGAUGCCGUAGGCCGCGGCCGCGGUGCCGUUGAGCAGCUGGCAGAGGCAGACGGGCUGCGAGUCGACCAGCGCGGCCAGCUCCGGGCAGCACGCCUUGUCCGGCCGCCGGUCCUUGCUCCCCGGCGUCACGUACCCCAGGCAGUCCGACGCGUUCAGCACCGCCGUCAUGCAGUCCGGCCCCGGCGCCGGCGCCGGCCCCGACCCCGCUGGCGCCUCCACCUGCGCUGCGAGCGCCGCGGCGAGAACUCUAACAAUCGAAUGCCGCGACAUGAUUUGGAGAUUGGGAUUGUGUUGUGUGUGUGUGUUUGUGGUAGCGUGGGGGUUAUAUGAGUUUGGGAGUGUAUGUAGAGAGAGGGGCGGUGGUAUUAAAUGUGGUCUAUUGCCCAACCUACCAAGCUGUAUUUAUACGUCUCCGGGAGUAGUGGGGCAAAAAUUAUACGGGCAUCGUCGAGGAUUCGGAUGGGCGCCGCGUGGCCCGCACGCGCCCAUCCUCGCCCUCCUCUCCCCUCCGCCAACGUUUCUCUCUCUCUCUCUCUCAAUCUCUCUCUCUUUUUAAAAAAUGGAGCUUUUUUUUUUUUUUUUUUUUGGGUUUUCGAGGGUCAGACCACGCGGUGCCUAUCGGCAUCAUCCCCAAACAAUUUGUUUGGGAACGAUGCUCAGAAAAUUUUGCCUGGAGUAGUGGGCAUGCAUUCCUGCUUUGCUGGCAACGAAUUUAUGAGUAUUUUUAGUUUUUCUGCGCUGGUAGAAAAUACUCUCGGUUGUACUCUGCAUAAUACAUCCGUUGUAUUAUUAAUGUAGUGUUUCUAACCAGUUAUAUUAUUUUUUAAAUUAUAUUUAUAUUAUCAAAAUUAUUAAAAAAUAUUUUUGUUUUAUUUAUUUUAAAAAAUAUAAUUAAUUAAUUAUUGAUGAUGUAGUGUAAUUGUUACGUAAUAGACUUUCUUAAUGUGAUGCAGUGCAGUGUAUCUCAAGCCGCAUUCCAUCUUUGGACGGUACUGACCCUUAAAUAGCACCAUCCAUCUACGUGACAUAAAUCUUUUAUGUUUCUUUAUUCUAAAGUAUAGUCUAAAUUUAAGAAUAAAAAUAUUUACCUUCUUUUUUGAGAAAGGAAUAAUUUGUUAUCGUUUUCUUCAUUAAAUAAAUAAACUAAGCUACAAAGUGAGACAAUUAGGCCUUUUGAGGAGGAAAAAAAAUGUACACACAGAAAAAAUUUUAGAAAUGGAGAAACGAAAAGAAGAUUGUAAGAAGCUGUCUCGGAAAGACCUUUCUCUUCUUAAAAAUUAUAAAAUAUAGUCUAAAUAUUUAUCCUUCUAAAUAUUAUUUUUAUUAUCAAACGCAAUCUUAGAAUUAUUUCUUUGGUUUCUAAAAAGAUAAUUUUUAUAAUUUUUUCAUAUUUUUCAUUAAAAAAAUUAAUGUUUUUAUAUUUUGAUAUUUUUAUUCGGAAAAACAAAAAUUGUGAAUAACAAUAUUUUUGAUAGAAAUCUUUUUUUAUUAAAUAAUAAUUUUUCAAUUUUUUUUUGGGGAAAAUCAAACACUCUCUUAGCUAUAGACGGAUUUUCUUUUUCUUUUUUUUUUUCUUUUUUCUGCUCAUACUUUUUGGAAGGAGGGGUCGGGGGUGUGAACCAUGGGGAGAGAUAAAGAUUCCUAGCUAGCGAAAGUAGGAGAAAAGGCCAAAAACUUGGAGUUGGGUUUCGUACGUCUUGGUGCAUGCCGUAACAAAUAAAUGAAGGUUGAAGGCUGAAUAUGAUUACUGCAUAAAUGAAAUAAUUGACGAGAAUACAGUUUUUCACUACCUGAUUUUGUUUUCCGCGUGAAAACCAAAACUGAUAAUUGAGCUAAACUGUUUCAACGCAGCCUCAAUUCGCAAUCUACGAGGUGCGGUUACGUUAUAAAACUUUUUUUUUUUUUUUUGAGAGAUAGGUAACACUACCUGCUUCGUUUAUUUUGUUUAUAAAUAAAUUUAGCUAGAAAUGUGAAUUAACUAGGAUUCGAACUUGAGUCUCGGAUACCAACUACCAAGUCUUUUGCCACUUGCUCUAAGGACGGUCGGUGAAACAUAUUUUUGGAAUGGUAUAAUAAUUAUAGAUAAUGAAUUAAAAGAAUUAGAGCUUUUUUGUAAAUAAUAUUGUAGAAUUUUUUUUUGUAAGUAUAUCAUUGCCCAUCCUACAUGAUACAAGUUCAUUUAAAACACUGACUCAGAGAAGCUUUUAUUAUUCGAACUUUAACUCCUCUACUCCCUUUUAGGACAUCUGUGUGACACUUCCUAGAAAGCUUGAGAACCCCAAAGAAGUAAAGGCAGUUUGUUACUAAUCAGUGUCAACAUUAUUAUGCUGAGCUAAGAUAUACAACAUUAUUAUGCUGAGCUAAGAUACAAGUUCAUCAUGGAUAUGCUUUGGGUCUCGGGGAAUUCGCUCCCUAUAGACUAAUAUUGAUUUGCUGACAAAUAAAUAUGACCUUUGUGAACUAAAUAGUAAUAAAUAUAUGAGCUAAAUAAAGACUCAUAAUAUCUAUGACAACACAAAUAGUUUAUACAAGUAAAAUUUUAUGACUUGUAACGUUAUUUUGUCAUAAAUCUUCUAAAAUAAGACUAUUGAUACACUGACAAGCAUAUCAACGUCAAUUUGAGAGCCGCAUGAAAGGUAUUUAAAACAUUACCUGCCUAUAUUAUGAACUGUUUUCUCCUCUUCUCCACGUCUAUCCCUUUUUCCCCCGUGCGACGGUUGAGUGGGACAAGAGUGAUGCCUACCGGAGAGUGGCGUCUCAGCCUAAACAACUGUUCUCAAUUAAUUAGAUCACUAUCGAAAGGUGCAAUCCCGUCCAUGUUUAGUUUCCCGUUGCAUAUGGUUUUGUAACAUUUGCAAUAAUUUGAUCUAUAGAGCUUCUCAACUAGCAUUUACAUAAAUACAUCCAUCAAAUUGCAAGUGGACACCAAUGCUUAAAGAAAACCAAUUGUACCAAUAAAACGAUUGGGACCAAACUAAAAACUCCUAAAGAUGUGGACCGUGACGCAAUUAUUAAACAAAACGGAACAAGAACAUUCACCCAGCAGAAACAUACUGAGAUACUAGUGAGCUAUUACAUUCAGCAUCCGAAUCUCACAAGCUUUUCUGCUCGGUACUCUGGAUUUGAUAAUACAUUAUUGAGUUCGAAUAGUAUAGGAUUUUAGUGGAAGCACACAAAGUGGAAUGCAUCAAACAAUCCCCAAUUUUUUUUGAAAAAAGAAAAGAAAAAAGAAUCAUUAGAAACAUCGUCAGACGCUAUAUGGUAUUACAAAACCCUAUAGUCAUGACACAUGAGAAUAGUUGAGCAGAGAAACAUAAAAAAAGUAAAUUAAAAAAAAAUCCAAACAUGGCCUUCUCAGUACAUAAAGAAUUGGAAUUCCUUAAUAAGAUACACUACUGUAUAUAGGUAAAGGUGAUGGAAACAAUCAAUACAAGGAAAACCAGCAAAAAUGAAAUCAUGCUACAUUGCUCUCCUUAUCUAUUUGCAUUGGAAAGCCGAUGAAGCACGCCUCGAGUGCUAUUUGAAGUUUCUGCCAAUUCAUAAAAAAAUUAAAUUCGAAAAACAUCAGGGUGCAAUCUUUUGAUCUUUCAACAUAGCUCGGUACUUAGGAAGGGAAUAUUUGCACAAACAACACACUGACGAUUUUUUUUCUUUCCUUAAGUGGAAUACUAAUUACCUUCAAUUGAUAAUUUCUUCGCCUACGUGACGUAUCAACAAAUGUGGGAGAAGCAAAAGACCUUACGUGGAGAACUUUGACAAAUUCUUUACAGGCACUUCAUGCAAAUGGAUUCCCUCCAAGAGUUGCAUUCCCACCAAGAGAUUCUAUGGGAUCUUGCGGCGAUAAAUUCCUGUUAACAUGACCACAUUUCGGUUGAAAUUUCAUACAACGCUCAUCAAGUAAAGGGUUUAACUUACUGAAGUUUACCCCAGAUUUUAAUUACAGUCUCAGAGUAUCAAUUGUAGUAAUUUAGCCCCAAAAAUUGUCCUGCGAAACUAUUAACUCUUGCCAUUAGUCCAUCAUGUUAUAGAAGAAGAUGCCAUAUCAACAUCAUCACUGGAGUUUACUCAAAUGUCAGAUUUUUCAGGUCGGUCCUACAGUCUCAUGAUGCUGAAUGGCAUUUUUUUUUCAGCUAGGUCGGACAAAGAAAGGACCUAAUUUACAGCACAAAAAAAACUUUAAGAGACCAAAUUGUUAACAAUGAAACUCUGGGAACUUAUUGACAUUGGGAUCAAACUUCAUAUUCUGAAUUUGCAAUUAAACCCUAUGUAUAAGUAGUUUAAGCAACUUACGGUAUUUGAGUAUUUGGUGCAUGUCCACUCAUGUAUGCUAGUCCUGCUGAAAUAGUAAUGAAAGAUCAACUGAUGAUGCUUGAAAAAAAAAAAAAAAAAAAAAAAACAAUGGUGAAGUUUUAGUUUCUCACUGAAAAGGAAACAAUAUUUUGAACUUACCCGGGGGAAAGGAAGGAUAAUACAAAAAGGCGGGAUUCUGAGGAAACCAUGGUUGUGCUAAGCUGGCAACAUAAUCAGCUGGAGCUUCCGGAUUUGGCAAUACUGCUUGUAAAGAGCUCAUGUCCAAAAACUGCAGCAGAAGAUAAACAUCAGGUUAGGUCCUCAUUAGUUACAGUUAAGAGGAAGUGCCACAUAUCAUUCAAGAGGCUAUGGAAACAUUAAUAUAUAGAUCUUGUAAGCAAAAGAUUUCCUUAAAUUUCUGACAGAUCAACCUAUCUUGGUUUAAUAUGCCCUAAAGAUAAUAAAACAAUAUAUACAAGUCAAAAACUCUUUCAAACUGACUGUAAAUUUUUCUUGAUUCGUGAAUAUCCCAGUCAACAAGUUGACUUCAGGUUGACUGUAGAUCCCAUCCAGGAUAAAGUGAUAUUAUUUACUAAUCUGUCUCAUCAACUAUAAAUUUGCUGGCAUAUGUAUUGUCAAAGUGAAGGUAUAAAGUGUAGCUUUUAGCAAUCAUAAUAAACCAAGGUUAGAAGCAACUCACCGCAUCCUUGACUUCCAACUCUGACUCAAAUGGGAGAUCAAAAGGAUUUGUUGACUUUGUUGUCUGAGAGACCACUCCCUGGGGAAUUGAAAGAAAACCGCAAAUUAAAAAUACUUGUGCAUAUCUGUACUACAGGUAUUGUAUAGCCGCUCUGACGCUAUGGCGUAGUGGUGCUCUUUUGAUGCUUACUGAUGAAACAACCAAAGACAUUAUGAUGUUGCUUAAUCAUUGUUCACAUACGCAUGCCUACAUGCAUGUGUUUGUAUCUACACCAAAAAAAAACACAUACACACAUACAAGUGCAAACAUACAAGCACACACAUGCACAGACAAGCACAUGUGAGCACGUGCGUGCAAAUCCACACAUGGCUACAUGAACCAUAACCCAGAUACGUAUAUAUGGCAUGUGUGAGCAUGAUUAUGUACGUAUAGCUAAAUCUAUAUAUGUACACAGACAGAGAGACACACGCAGAGCACUCACACAGUGCACUUAUGUAUUUAUGUAUACAUGUAAAUAUGUAUAUACACAAGUACAUACACAUGCAUAUGACCAUUAUCUUCCUUUUCAGGUUGGCAUUUCACCAUAUAAAACUCACAAUUUGUUUAGAUCAUCCCCACACCUCAAAAUGGAAAACCAUGUUGAUGUGAAUUUUGGGAUAAAGGUGCCAAAAUAUAAAUUUGUGUAGAGAUGAAGAGACCAUAAUAUGGUUUGAACCAUCAAGUUGACGACAGUUGACAAAUGUAAUAUAAUAUCAAAUUCAAACAGGGAUUAAUUAUCCAGAAAGGAACUAAUGCAGAGUUCAAUACCAUUUUGAGAACUUAAUUACAGAUCCACGCAUGCAUAAUACCAAAAACAAGGUGAACCAAUAAAAUAAACCAUAUAAAUCACACUUCUUAGCUUCACCACAAUAGCUGAACCAAUAACGACAUCUUCCCACCAUACAGUCUUGUUCAGUCAAUAGAUAGUUGGUGAUAUUAAUUUGAAAAUAAUCACUUUAUCUGUUUAUUUGCUUAAAUAUCUCAUAAUGGGGAGAACACCGAUUCUUGAAUUGACAGAAAAAGGACUCUGAAGUAUUCUCUCCUUUCUCAAUCUCAAACAACGAAAAACCACCACUAGCAUAUGUGGACCCAGUCUAAAAAUGAUGACCGUGAGUGACUUCAUAAAUAUAACAUACCGGCAAUGAUUGAAGUGAUGCUGAAAAAGAUGAUUCUGCAAAACCACCAGAUGCAAAAUUAAGACCAGCGCCUAUGUCAUUACCAUCUGAUUUUCCAACCUCCUCGACCAACUCCUACAAAGGGAUUAAACAUAAGAUAGGCUGUUCAGACCAAAUAAAAUCCUGUCGAAGUACCAAACAAGGCAGCACCUUUGAAGUUCCAAUUCCAGCAUGAUCGCCAGAUACAAAAGACCGGGGGAAAGGAACAUGUGGCACGUUGAUUUGUGGUUGGUUUCCAAGCGAAUUAUGAUGUACAUUAGCAAUAGAGUCAUCAAAAGCAUUCCAAGGCUGCAAAAUCAAAUUUUGAAUGAAAUUAUAGUUUCCAGAUAAACAGCCCAUCUGCACAUCAUCUUCGAUUAUAACUUACAGGUUGUUGGGUUGCAAGGGAAUGAUGAAAAAAACGUUUUCAACGGAAAACAUUUAGAUGGGAAAAUAAUGGUUCUGAUGUUUUGUGAACGAAAACUAAUGCCAGUUCAGUGAUUGGUUCGGAGGGAAAGGAUAUUGUAAAAGGUAAUCAGAAUUAGUGAUGUUUUGCCCUAAGAGAGGCAAGAAACGGCCCCAAUAACAACUAUUAAAAAAAAUUGUAUUGCUUUAGAACCAAUAUCUACGAAAAACUUCACCAAACUACUGGAAUUUACACUAAAGAAUAAAGAGAAUAUCUACCUGAAACUUUUCUUGGCCGGAAGUUCUCUCAGCUUCAUGUACACCUACAUGCCACUGAUUAUCUGUCAAAGAGAUAGGUCCUGAAGCCAUUGGAUUUUGAACCAAAACCUCUGUUUUCAAGGCAUCCAUCACUUUAGGUACUCCACCAGGAGGUGGAAUUAAAACAGAAAGCAUUGUAUUUGGAUUUGAAUCAGAAGCAGAACUAGCAUUAUUAGGUAAGUCAAAUGUAGCCCAUCCUUGAUUUUCUGAGAAUGGUGUUGAAGACGGUUUCUGCUCAGGAGGAGCCAAAGACGAAGGCUGAUCGCCGAAGCCAGUGAUUGGAUAAGAGUAAGCAGCUGAUGGUUGCGUGAUUGGUUGAUUGAAAACUUGGUUUGUGGAACGCAAGGAGGCAUGCGGUUGGGCUGAAAGGGGAGAUGGAGAUGCUACUGGGUGCUGGUUUCCAGUAAAUUGAACAGGCUCUGCAGCAACAUCAACUAUGCUGCAAGAAUCAACUGAUUUUCUAGAUAAUGUACUGCUUUCCAAGGAUCCGAAACUGCCUGACGAUGCAGUUCUCUGAAUAUAGAAAAAAAAAGAGUGUUAUAUUUCACUAAUUAUUGAAGGUUCCAUUGAUCGUUUCAGCAGCCACAGCAUGCCCAUAGUUAGCAAAUCACGAUUUAGCAAAAAUACUUUACAAAACAUGAUGUUCUAUUAUUCAACUUCUAAACUCGACAAUAUGACACCUUAACAGUCCAGCAUCAGAUGAAAAAAGAGUUAUGAUUGUAUAUCUAAGGACCAAAGGCUCCAUUAUUAUUAAUUAUGCUUAAGCAUUUUGGGCCGGUGGUUUGGUUUCACAAGUUAUUAGUGCCGGGCCCAGCGAGCCGGGUCAUUACAUUUUGUAUGAGAGUUAGUUUGCCAGCCAUAAGUGUGAGAAAAUUUUCAUAUCGCUUGAUGAUCAAGGGCUAGGAAAUGGAUCCGCCAAGGACGUGAGUAUCUAAAAAGAAAAAAUGUGACACCUUAAUAGUCCCACAUUAGAUAAGAAAGAGAUUAUGAAUGGAUAUAUAAGGACAAAUGACUCUAUCAUUAAUAGCUAGACUUAAGUAUUUCGGACCGAUGAUUUGGGCCUAACGAGUUAUUAAUGGUAGCAGACUGGGUCAUUAUAAACAACAUGGUAAAACAUUUAAGGCCCUGUUUGGAUACAUGAAUGUCUUGUUCAUUAUAUCCUCUUGAUUUGCUUAGAAAAUUUGUAUAUUUGGACGAUGAGAAGUGUGAUCAAAUAUUUUCAAUUGAUUAUCAUAUUUGGCCUUCAAGUCAUUUUUUCAUAAAAUCAUGGAUAAGAAGACAUUUCAAGAAGUAAAAAUCAUAUUUUCUACUUGCUAUCAUACUAGAAAAUUCUUAUACCGAGUAAGUUAUCCUUGAAUAACUUAUUUCGACAUCCAAACAGGACCUAAAUGAGAGUCAAACAAUAUUCUAGAAUUGCGAAUUUGUGUAUGACAUGAUAUAGAUUGAAUAGUUCAAAAUAAAAUAUCAUAACUGACAAUUCUGUUGUCUACUAUGAAUGUUGGUGAUAAUAUAUGGUUUAGUGAUUAACUGAUUAUAUAUAUCUUAAUAUUUGUAUAUAUAUAUAUAUAAGGUGUACAGGUGGUUCCAUUUUUAAGUAUAUACAUCAAUAAUAAAAUUGUCAAUUUUUCUAUUCAUUUUGCAAUACUUUAAUUUUUUUAAAAAAGUAUCUUCGUAUAACACGACAAGAUGUGUAGAUUCAGGAAAAAUUUAUAAAAAUCAUGAAUUGUUUAUUUCUUUUUCUAGAAGCAUGUCAAAUGUUAACUAUUUUUAAUUAGACAUGUGCGUUUAUACAAAUACUUUACAUGAAUUGACUAUGGGCAAGACCCCCUUGCCAAUUGGCUUUUAGCACAGCACAUGCCGUAACACACACGGUGCAACACUUGGCAUAUUCGAUGGGGACCAAGUACGGACCCAUUAUAUGUGUAUGCAGGAAUUAGCAAGGGGGGAGAUGGCACAGCACGGUCGGCCUCUGCCUACCAAGGCACUUGGCAAGUUCAUAAGACAUAGACAAAUUAAUAAAAGAUGUUCUAUAACCUGUGGACGUUGGAUUCCAUCUAAAUCCCUUCGAGCAACCACAUCAGAAUGCUCAUUUAGAAUCUUGGGCUGAUCUUCAAUAAGAACAUCCCUUAAUUGGUGUACAGGAGGACUGUGGUACCCUGUGCCCUGAGAACUUGGUGACUUCGCAUCAUACCUGAACUGAUCACUUGCGCUAGAGAGUGAGAAAUCCGAAAAUCUUGAACCAGAACUCUCAUUGGCAAACCUAUCUUCGUACAUGUUCUCACGCAUACGACCAGGGCUAAAUAUGAAGCUACGUAACCUCCCCUCAUAAAUUGCCCGAUCUGAACCUGGCCUUCGGCUGAGCAUACUUGCUUGUUUUCCGUACCGUCUAUCCUCAUAUUGAUCAUCAUAAGGUGGGCUCUGAGAAUAAGAAUGAUAAGAGCUUGCCCUUCUUACAUCUUCUUCAUGGUUCUUGAGAUUCUAUUGAAAAUAUGGAGGACUAAGGUUAGAAUAGAUCAACAGGUUGGAUGCAUCAGUAACAGAAAAAGUAUAACGUAUAGGAUGCUAUGAUACAAAUUAAUACUCAAUGUUAGGCUGAUUUAGAACUAUGUCACCUCCAAAUCUCUAGGCACCCUUUCAGAGGACCUCCCCCCAGCAUAUUUCUUAUUCACAUAAACACUUCUGAUGAAAUCCCUUAUCUUCUCAACGUUGCUGUAUCAAAAAACAAGGGCAAACUAGUAAUCUUUCAUUGUGCGUAACAUAUGAUAGAUAACUAGUGCAAUAAUAUGAAUGUUUUAUGUUUCACCUGUUGUCUGGCAAUCUCAUGCGCUGCAUGUCCCAGUCUUUCAAAUAUAUUUCUCUUGCACGCUGAGACAAGUGAGUAUCACAUAAGACCAGAAUAGGCCACUAAAUGGUCAGCUUAAAUAGAGCAAAUAGUAGGAUGUGACUAAUUAUCUACCUGAUUACCACCUUUCUGGAGGGCCUCAACUUCCUGCCUGUUAAACUUGCCCAGGGAAACCGACUUAACCCGGUGCGUGAAUUCACGACUGUACAACAAAUAAGCAACUUAUGUCAAAGAUUGCCAUGAAAUUUUCAGGAAUUUGCAAAAGCAUCACUUUCAUUAGUAGACAAGACAAGUACAUAUUUAAAUUCAACGUUUAAAAAAUUAAAUGACAACGCCCAUUUCUUUAGUACUUAGUACAAUCCGGUAAAGGACACCUAAAGCGAUCCUCAAUAAUGAUCGAAGCUUCUUCUAAGGAAAAGCAAACAACAGAAAUGAAAGAAUCCAAGAAUAUCCAUAUAUACUACUCACUGUAUUCCGCUGCACGUAGCACACACGAAGGUCCAAAAAUCCAUACACACAUACUGCACACUCUGUAUUUUCAACACAAAAAUGUAUAGUUAGCUUCUUCAAUAAUCUUCAUCCUUAAACAAACAAAUGAUCCAAUAAACCACAAUAAAAUCUACAGCAGAUGCUUUUGAUGAUGCAAAUUAGAGAAAAAGACAUUGAAAUUUGCAAAAAAAAGAGAACCAGUACCGGGCUAUUGCAAUUGAUGCAUCGCCUAUUUGGAGGCAACUUCAUGAGACCUCUGAUGAUCUUCUCAUUCCUCUCCUCCUCCCUCUUACUACUCAUCCUGUCCGAUACUAACCCCGAUCCCCUAGCAAAAAAAUUCAGGGGAGCAAAUCCGAAGCCCUAGCGAAUACCAGCUACAGGAAACCACCCGCGAAAACACCACCAAAAAUCCACCCCAACGGACUCGCCCACGUCCUCGUCCUCGUCCUCGUCCUCGUCCUCGUCCUCGUCCUCGUUCAAGAGCUAGGGCCUCCUCUCUCUCCCGCUCCCUCGAGCUCUCCGCGUCGGCGGAAUCGCGGAUCGCUCGAUUAGGGUUAGGGUUUUGCGGGGAGGAGGAAGGAGGAGGCGACGACGAGGAAGGGGAGAAAGGGGGGAAUCGCUGAUGUGGGUGGGGAGAGGAGAGACACAGAAGGGGUUUGAAAGGGGAAAAGGGCUAUAUAUAGUGGGAGGGUAAAUUCUGUUCAUUUCCACUCGGCCGGUAACGGAGCGCCGCGAGCCGGGAUAAAAUCGGGGCCGUCGUUGUAACGGUUUUGAUGGAGGGAAGUUUUAACGGACUUCAGUUGGGGCUGCUGCAGCAGCAGACUGGUUCGGGCGUCAGAGUAAAUUAUAAAAAAGGAAAAUUGCAGGUAUUUUCUCAAACUGCUCAAAAUAAAAGGGUCUGACAUUUUUUUUUUUGGGAAAAUUUUAAACACCCCUGUAGUUUUUCAGUUUUUUAAUUUUAGUACCAUAUGAUUUAAAAUAUAUCAAGUUAGUUUCUUGUGGUUUCGCACUUUCUCAUUUUAGUACUAUGUGGUUUAAAGUGUAUCAAAUUAGUACUCUGUGAUUUUAUUUUUGUAUCAAGUUAGUACCAUGUGGUUUUAUUUUUGUAUCAAAUUAGUACCAUGUGGUUUUAUUUUUGUAUCAAAUUAGUACCCUGUGGUUUUUAAACCACAGAAGUACUAAAGUGAGAAAGUGCGAAAUCAUAGGGUACUAAAGUAAGAAAGUGUGAAACCACAGAGUACUAACUUGAUGCACUUUAAACCACAGGGUACUAAAGUGAGAAAGUGCAAAAUCACAGGGUACUAAUUUGAUACAUUUUAAACCACAAGAUACUAAAGUGAGAAGGAGUGAAAUCACAAGAGGGGUAUUUGAAGUUUUCCCUUUUUUUUUGCAUUUUAAUUUAUUAUAAUUUUUUUAUUUUAAAUUAUAUAAUUUUAUAAUUAAGUUCAUUAAAUGAUGACGUUACAGAUUUUAAUUGAUAGAGCACUUCCGCUCGAUUCACCCCAAAUGAGAUUUUAAAUGAGGCUUAAAAAUAAAAAAUUAAUCUAUUUCGUACUCAUCCGGGUUCGCUGAGGAAACGAAACUAAAGAUGGAGAACUUCUAAAAACUACGCCUUUCUCAACUUAUCACAAAUAGGAUGGUAAAUAGAGAAAAAAUUAAAAUAAAAAUUAACUAGUUUCAAAUCCACUCCAAUCCGUCAAUAAUAAAUCAGGGGAGGUGGAAAACUCCUAUAACCUCUAGAUCUGCUCGAUUUGCAUCUCUAGUGAUAGUAAGUAAAUCAUGACCACAGCAGUGUUACAUUACACUAGUUAACUAAUUUGAAAUGUGAAAUUUAAUUUUAAUAAUUUAAAAAAAUUGAUGCAGAAAUUAUAUCAAAUUAAAUUUAAAGCUCUAAGGCCCCGUUUGGUUGGGGGGAUAAGCGGGGAUAACAAAAGUUAUCCCCGCUAUUCCGCCAAACGGGGUGAAAUUUGGCCGGGAUAUUUUAUCCCGGUCAAACCUUGCUAUUCCCGGUUAUCCCGGAAUAGCAAGGGAUUUGCUAUUCCACCAUUUUGGUGGAAUAGCACUAUUCCAAUGCUUAAUUUCAAACUUAAUUAAAAUUAUANUUUAAAUUUCAAAGUUAAAAUUUUAAAUUUAAAAAUAUAUAUAUUUAAAAAUUUAAAUUUAAAUAUAAUAAGAUGAUAAUAUGAUUAUUUUUUAUUUAUAAAAUUUACUAUCUUUUUUAUUCCAUCUUACCUAACCAAACGCUAUUUUUUUUAUUCCCAGGAAUAACCCAAUUUUCAUCCAAACACAAAAUUGAUCUAAUCCCCGCUUAUACCUUAAUUUAUACCUAUCCCUGGAAUAGUCACUUUUUGCUUAUUCUCGAACCAAACGAUACCUAAGUGUCACAUGCCUCAUGGUUUAAGAACCAAAAAUAUGAUUUAGCCUAAAAUUUAUAUAAUUUAUGAGUUAUGUAGGAACAAUCUAAAGAGUUAUUUACUUGCACAAAAUUAUUAGUGAAUUAUAGUUUUAAGGGAUAAUAUCUACUAUGCCCUUAAAAUUUUUUAAAAUAUCUAAUUUACUUCUACUAUUUUUUGUUUCAAAUAUACCUCUUGUGUAGUUCGCCGUUAUUCAAAAAUACCUUUUCUAUUAUUGUCCAUUAAGUUAUCUUUGAUUAAAUUCGGAUUAAAUUUCUAAUUGAGUUAAAAAAAAUUAAUAUACCUCUUUUGUCCUUAACUUAAUAGGAGAUAAGAAAAGCUUGUGAUAGUAGAAAAUUAUAUUUGAAAGAAAAAAAUAAAAAAAUAUUUUUUUUACCUCUAUAUUAAGGGCAAAUAAGAAUGAUAGGUGAAGGUAGAAGGGUAUAUUUGAAAAAAAAAAAAAAUAGUAACAAUUAUUGUUAACAGUUCAUUAACAUAAUAUAAUUCUAUUAUGAAUAUAUUUGAAAUAAUUUGAAAUGUUUAAAAAAUAAUUUUUAAUGUAAGCCUUCUAAAAAAUAUAAAUUAAAAAGUCCAAAAUUUUUUUAGAAAUAUAUAAAUACUUGCCCCUAGUUUUAAAUACAUACAAAUUCAAACAGUAUCAAAUAUAUAUUAAUGUAUUAUAUUAGAUAUUAGAUAAAUAUGUAAUUUAUUUUGACUCGAUGUUAUUUUAUCGCAGGACUAAAACUCAUUGACUAAUUUUUAAUUCAAAUUAAAAUAAAUCAAUUUAAAUAAAAAGAUAAUUUAAUUUAAUCUAAUGCUUUAAAAAAAUUUUAAAAUUAAUUAUAUUAUUAAUUUUGGGGUGCGUUUGGUUCGAGUUAUCCUGCGAGGAUUACAGGCAAUCCUGCAAGGAUAAUUGUGUUUGGUUAAUCCGCUAUGUAAUCUAGUCGUUAAUAUAGUAUUACAAAUCGAGCAGGAUUACAUCGAAAAUAUUAAUGGAAGGGGGUCGUGUAUCUUGCAUUUCUGAAACCCGUUAAUACUACAUAUUAUGUAAAAUGACAAUUUUACCCUCCAACAACCCUAAUCUAAUUAACAGCAUUAUUUUCAUCUCUCUCUCGCCUUCCCCCCUCUCUCUCGCACACCGCUUUCUCUCGCUCUCUCUCUCGACGUCUCUCUCUCUCUCUCGCACGAACACGUAUCAUCUUCUAUUGCGUCGUCCUCCCAGGUAAUCAUCACAAUCAGCUUCCCUCCAUUCGUCAUUUUCGCAAAAAAUAAUAUUCAAAUAACCACAACAAGGGCAAUUUUGAAAAAAGCUAUACUUUUAUGUCAGGAUUACUAAAUUUUAUAGACUGAACAAAACGUAUUAAUGCUAUAAAUACUGCAAUCUAGUAUUACAUUACUGCAUUAAACCAAGCGCGCUAAUGUAGCAUCAGUAGUAAUCUCACGCCGAAAUUCAAGAUACCUGAAUAUGUCGAGAUACUUUGUAAUAUUUGUUUUUGAUAUGUAUAGACUAUAGAGCGCGAUUAAUGUGUAAACAAAGUUAAACUUUUAAGAUAAGUAAUGUGCAAUUCACCUAUUUUACCCAUUCUGUUGUCUAUUAUUACGAAACUGCCCCUGCAUUUCCCCUUAAUUUCCCAACCCGCUUAUAUUUAUACCUCCUCUUCUCUACGCCAUUUCUCCCCUCGUCCCCGUCGACGAUCCUCUCGCUCUCUCUCCCUCUCUCGCGCUCGCGCGCGUUCACCUCCUCCGCGUCCUCCCAUGGCGUCGUCGUCCCCGUGGCUCCCCUCCGCGGCGCUCACCGACGCGGGGCGCCCCGUGUUCCUCCCGGGGGAGGUGGAGCGCCACCUCGUCCCCUCCGUUGACCUAGAGGCGGAGGAGAACCCCUCCCUCCUCCACCCUCCGCUCCGUGCCCGGCUCCUCGCGCUCACCUCCCACCGCCUCAUCUGGAUCCACGAACCCUCCUCCUCCGCCCGUGCCCUCCCCCUCUACUCCAUCGUCCACGCCUUCCCCCCCAAGAAGUCCCUCCGAUCCAUCUUCGCCGCUUCCUCCCCCCGCAUCCGCCUCCAAAUAUCCCUCUCCGACGCCUCCGCCGCCCCCAGGGGCGGCGCCGCCGCGAGAUCGGAGGUGAUCACCGUCGUGAUGAGGGGGAAGGCUGAUCCGGACGUCUUCUACGGGAGGCUCGUCGAGGUGCUCCGAUCUAAGGCGUGGGAGGCGGCGCUGGCGAACGAAGACGCGGCGUCGGGGCCGGGGACGGGGACGACGGGGUUAGGGUUUGGGGGGAGCGAGCGGGGCGGAGGAAUACGGAUGCCAGUGGUGGGGGUCUCGGGGAUACUGAGGAAGGAGCAGGAGAUGUGGGAGAGUACGGAUAAGAGCUUGAACGACGCGUUCCAGGAUUUGAAUGCCCUCAUGGUUUGUUUCUUUGAUCUCUUCUUGUUUGUUGUAUAUUAAUUAUGAAAUAGUACCCGAGCGUGUGUUUUGGUAUUGUUUAUCAUUCCAUUCUUGGUUUGAUCUAGGAUGGUUGGAUUGUUAUACUAUUAAUUGAGUAUACACAAGAGUAUGGAGCAAGAAUGGAAUGAUAAUUUGCGUGUUCAGCGUCCUCUUGUUCAGGGAUUUCAGGGGUCGGGGGGCUUUAUUUUUUUCGAUAUGUAGUAUUUUCGUGCUUCAAAAUUUGAGAGAUAGACAUUAGGAAUAGCACAUGACCUAGGGAAAAUAUUAUUGGCUAUAGCUGGAGCAGGCUUGCAAUUUGUUCGUUAUUAUCAAACUUACUUGAGAGAGCGAACUGGACAAGAAGUGUAAAGAAGAGAGGGAGAAAGGGCAUGAGGGAAACGUUAGGGAAAAAAAAGGUGAAGAGAGCAAGCGGGAUUGCAGGAAGAAGAGGAAAAAAAAAAAAAAGUGGGAAACUUAAACCCAUGGCAUAUUGCAUAUAUGCUGAAUGCCAACAUGUUCGUUUAGCUACAAUUAUGUUAAAAAUUAUCGCCUUCUGUUGCCACCUAUAGUGAGUCAUGAUAAAGACUUGAUCUAUUAUAGAUGUCGAUUUUGUUAUCCGUACCCUCUAUGUACUUGAUCUUCAUUCUUGUGGAGCUGAAAGAAUCUGGAGAUAUUGUUCUUUGCAGAGCAAAGCUAAGGAGAUGGUUCAACUAGCAGAGAAAAUGCGCUUGAAGUUGUUAUCCAAUUCGACUGCUCAGGCAAAUUCCAAUGAUGAAGAGAUGGGUUCCAAGCAAGAUAUGCAAGAUUGGCUAUUGAGUGUUGGUAUUGUUUCACCAGUUACAAAAGAGUCUGCUGGUGCUCUAUAUCAUCAACAAUUAUCACGCCAGGUUAUAUGCAAUUUUAUCAUGCACUGAUAGUUUAGUUAUUUGUUUAUUACUUAAAUGGUGCAUUUGGUGAUGCUCUGCCACGGUAACUAAUUGAUUAAAGAGUUGUUGAUGCAUUGAGACUUUAACUUUCUUGUAUGAGAUUUCAUUUUUAGGAAUGGUGGCACCUUGUGUUUUAAAGAUAUAUACCAGUUAGUAAAAUCACACUUUUAGUAGCUUUUUGUGAAGCAUGAGUUGCUAGAUCAACUUCUCUCUAGACAGGUCACAGGCCCCUUUUUAAGCAUGUUUAAAUGAUGAAUUUAGCACUGGUGUUUACUGUAGGUCUCUAACGUCUUGUUUAGUGAUAAUUUAUUAAUGGCUGUUUUUGUUCCAUUAGAAAUCUGUGCUUUCACUCUCACAGGUGUCGGAAUAAUAUCUCUUUUGUCAAAAUUUGAAGAAAGAAUUUUGACCUUUGAUCUGUUAUUUCAAUUGUGGAAAUUUCAGAGAAAUAAAUGUUGUGAUUUCUGAACAUGUUACUUGCUUUCCCUCUCUGAUUUUUAUCUUGUGCUUUUGUUCCUAGUAUGUAAUAACUAGUGAAAAAACAAGAUUGUUGCAGGUUGUUGUUUGUUUAUGGAAUUUUUUGUAUGGUUUUCAGCUAGCGGACUUUGUCAAACUACCACUUGAGAGAGCUGGUGGGAUGAUGUCACUGGUAGAGGUGUAUUGUCUCUUCAACCGUGCCAGAGGGACAGGUAUAUGCUUUUUUUAUUUUUUACUUCUUUCUUUGGUUCUUACUUUCGUGUGCAUUCACAUUUUUAUUGUCUUCUAAGUUUAGUCCUUUUGCUCGUCUCCCUUAGAGUUGAUCUCACCCGAGGACCUUUUGCAAGCUUGUGCUAUUUGGGAGAAAUUUGAUGUGUAUGCACUACAGAACCUUUAAUUCCUUAUGAUAUCCUAAAUUCAAAUACUGCUUUGAGUAAAUGACUAUUUGGCCUAGCUUAUGGGGCAGCUUCCUACUUUGAGAGGCAUUAGUCAGGCAUUUGGCAGACAAAAUGAACCUGACAAAAUGAACCUGGAGCAUUGCUGUGGUUGGAAGCUGAAAUAAGCUUCUAGACCUGAAAAUCAAAAACCCCAAUAUGAAGGUUUAUUUUAUUUUAUUUAUUUAUUUAUUUAUUUUUGCUGCAGUGAGAAGUUGUUGAGGGGGAAUUUUUUUUUUUUUAUAAAUGUUGUG
rnacentral:lncRNA from 1 species